CCCUUAGAUGUUCUGGGCCGCACGCGCGCUAUACUGAUGCAUUCAACGAGUCCAACCUUGACCGAGAGGUCCGGGUAAUCUUUGAAACUGCAUCGUGAUGGGGCUAGAUUAUUGCAAUUAUUAAUCUUCAACGAGGAAUGCCUAGUAAGCGUGAUUCAUCAAAUCGCGUUGAUUACGUCCCUGCCCUUUGUACACACCGCCCGUCGCUCCUACCGAUUGAGUGUGUUGGUGAGGAGUUUGGAUUGGCCUCGGAAGGUGGUUCGCCACCGUCCGUAGCUGAGAAGUUCUCCAAACCGCCCCACUUAGAGGAAGGAGAAGUCGUAACA
rnacentral:rRNA from 1 species